UGAAAAAAAUAUGGUGCAAAGUACAUGUUAGAAUUUUGUAGUGGUUGGAUGAAUAUAAGGUAAAAUAAAAGUGGUACAAUGAUAAUUUCACUUCUCAAAAUAGCAGUUUAAUCCUUGUAAGUUAAAAAAUAUCAAUGAAGAGCCGUGUGAUUUUUUUUCUUCUUCUUUGUUUCUUUUUCCCCCCUUUUUCCCAGCAUUAAAAAUUCGGUCAGAAACAUAAAUAAAUUUUCAUCGUAAUAAUUUUUUUAACCAACUUCCUGUGGAAUGAAUCUGCCGUCGGAACUAGUGGAGGUUGAGAUUUUAGAAUGCCUAAUGGGAAAAGGAUCGUGCAGUGAGUGAUACGCAAGCCCAGAAAGCUGUAGAUUUGACUUUGUAGAACAAAUCCAAUUAACUAGAUUCAUUUACAGAUAAUCUAGAUGCCUCCACAAUAAGGAUAUAUAAUGCUCAUAAUAAUUCCGCAAAAAUAAGUUUUUCAAACUUGUACACCAUAUACCAAAGGGAGAAGAAUGGACCGUCUGGAACUCCAAACCAUCAUAAAAGUUUAUCUUGUAUAAAAGGAUGUUGAGCUUCGAAUAGCUAGCCUUUUGACUUUUAAAAGCAUUUAAUUUUUUUAAAUACGCGCCAUAAAAGUUGAUUUCUCCUUUUUGUUGAGGUAAAUGAUGACGAUAACCAUUAACUCUGACAUCUUUUAUAUACAGUAAAUUUUUUUAUAAAUUA
rnacentral:lncRNA from 1 species